GACGAACGCUGGCGGCGUGCUUAACACAUGCAAGUCGAACGCUGAAGACCUGGCUUUUGUUGGGUUGGAUGAGUGGCGAACGGGUGAGAACACGUGAGUAACCUGCCCUCUUCUUGGGGUAAAGCCCGGAAACGGGGGCUAAAACCGGAUAUUUACCGAUCUUUGCAUGGGGGGUGGGGGGAAGGGUUGUUUUGGUGGGGGAUGGGCCCGCGGCCUUACAGCUUGUUGGUGGGGUGAUGGGCUACCAAGGCUUUGACGGGUAGCCGGCCUGAGAGGGUGACCGGUCACAUUGGGACUGAGAUACGGCCCAGACUCCUACGGGAGGCAGCAGUGGGGAAUAUUGCACAAUGGGCGAAAGCCUGAUGCAGCGACGCCGCGUGAGGGAUGGAGGCCUUCGGGUUGUAAACCUCUUUCGCUCAUGGUCAAGCCGCAACUGUGGGUUGUGGUGAGGGUAGUGGGUAAAGAAGCGCCGGCUAACUACGUG
rnacentral:rRNA from 1 species